rnacentral:pre_miRNA from 1 species
AAUCUGCUCCCUCCGUUCUAAAUUACUUGUCGCAGAAAUGGAUGUAUCUAGAACUAAAAUACAUCUAGAUACAUCCAUUUCUGCGACGAGUAAUUCGGAACGGAGGGAGUAGGAU